UACGUAGGGUGCAAGCGUUGUCCGGAAUUAUUGGCGUAAGAGCUCGUAGGCGGUCUGUCGCGUCGGAUGUGAACUCGGCUCAACUCCGGCCUGCAUUCGAUACGCUGACUAGAGUCGCAGAGACUGAUCCUGUGUAGCGUGAAUGCGCAGAUAUCAGAGACACUAUGCGAGCAGCUCGCUGACGUGACUGACGCUGAGACGCGAGCGUGAGCGAACAGAUAGAUACCUGAGUCAGACAGUCUCUGCUACGU
rnacentral:rRNA from 1 species